UGAAAAACUAGUUAAAAUAUAACAUAAGGCUGUCACUCUUAAAUUACUCAUAGUGUUUUUUAU
rnacentral:tRNA from 1 species